rnacentral:rRNA from 2 species
UUAACGCUGAGGUGUGAUGACGAGGCACUACGGUGCUGAAGUAACAAAUGCCCUGCUUCCAGGAAAAGCCUCUAAGCAUCAGGUAACACGAAAUCGUACCCCAAACCGACACAGGUGGUCAGGUAGAGAAUACCAAGGCGCUUGAGAGAACUCGGGUGAAGGAACUAGGCAAAAUGGUGCCGUAACUUCGGGAGAAGGCACGCUGAUAUGUAGGUGAAGUGGUUUACCCAUGGAGCUGAAAUCAGUCGAAGAUACCAGCUGGCUGCAACUGUUUAUUAAAAACACAGCACUGUGCAAACACGAAAGUGGACGUAUACGGUGUGACGCCUGCCCGGUGCCGGAAGGUUAAUUGAUGGGGUUAUCCGUAAGGAGAAGCUCUUGAUCGAAGCCCCGGUAAACGGCGGCCGUAACUAUAACGGUCCUAAGGUAGCGAAAUUCCUUGUCGGGUAAGUUCCGACCUGCACGAAUGGCGUAAUGAUGGCCAGGCUGUCUCCACCCGAGACUCAGUGAAAUUGAACUCGCUGUGAAGAUGCAGUGUACCCGCGGCAAGACGGAAAGACCCCGUGAACCUUUACUAUAGCUUGACACUGAACACUGGUCCUUGAUGUGUAGGAUAGGUGGGAGGCUUUGAAGUGUGGACGCCAGUCUGCAUGGAGCCAUCCUUGAAAUACCACCCUUUAAUGGCUGGUGUUCUAACGUAGACCCGUAAUCCGGGUUGCGGACAGUGUCUGGUGGGUAGUUUGACUGGGGCGGUCUCCUCCUAAAGAGUAACGGAGGAGCACGAAGGUUAGCUAAUCCUGGUCGGACAUCAGGAGGUUAGUGCAAAGGCAUAAGCUAGCUUGACUGCGAGAGUGACGGCUCGAGCAGGUGCGAAAGCAGGUCUUAGUGAUCCGGUGGUUCUGAAUGGAAGGGCCAUCGCUCAACGGAUAAAAGGUACUCCGGGGAUAACAGGCUGAUACCGCCCAAGAGUUCAUAUCGACGGCGGUGUUUGGCACCUCGAUGUCGGCUCAUCACAUCCUGGGGCUGAAGUAGGUCCCAAGGGUAUGGCUGUUCGCCAUUUAAAGUGGUACGCGAGCUGGGUUUAGAACGUCGUGAGACAGUUCGGUCCCUAUCUGCCGUGGGCGCUGGAGAAUUGAGGGGGGCUGCUCCUAGUACGAGAGGACCGGAGUGGACGCAUCACUGGUGUUCGGGUUGUCAUGCCAAUGGCAUUGCCCGGUAGCUAAAUGCGGAAGAGAUAAGUGCUGAAAGCAUCUAAGCACGAAACUUGCCCCGAGAUGAGUUCUCCCUGACCCUUUAAGGGUCCUGAAGGAACGUU